UACCAAAUUAUAUUUGUAAAUGGUAGAGAAUUAUAUUCUUAUACUUACAGAGAAAUAAUAUGCAUUUUCUACUUCUGUAUUUCAGUAAAUAUUAAACAUUGUUUUAGGUUAUAGAGACCACUUUUGUGAGUGUCUUCAAAAAGCAUCAUUUAAUAGUCUAACUUUUUUUUUUUGGUACCGGGGAUCAAACUCAGGACCUUGCACUUGAGAGGCAGGCGUGGCGCCACUGAGCUAAAUCCCUGGCCAACAAGCAUCAUUUAAGUUUCGAGAGAAUUUAGCUUUUAAUUUACUGGGCCACAGAGCAAGUGCUUCUGUUUUAAAUAAUUGCAAAAACAUGGUAGUUUCCCUUCUUUAGAAUACAAAUUAUUAAGCUGAUAAAACAUGGCAUGAAAAAUACAACUCUUGGUUAGGCCCUAAAUUUCAAAAAACCAUGGGUACUUUAGGGUCAUAUUAUUGUUUUGGGUUUUUUUGCUACCGGGGGAUUGAACUUGGGUCCUCUUGCUUGCGAGGCAGGUCGCGGAACCACUGAGCUAGAUCCCUGGCCCAGGGUCAUAUCAUUGAAUCAAAGCGUAACUGCAUGGGUUCAGGCAUCCUAAUCAUUAGUGCCAAUGGAUGAUUCUAUAGGCAAAUAUUGAAUAAUUUCCUACAAAAGGAGAAGGAAUAAAAAUAGUCAUUGUAUAUAAUGUGUGGAAAUAUUAGUCAAACCUAGUCCUUUGUAAAAAGUAAGUCCUAUAGACUGUGUAUGUAUGUUUUUUGUUGUUGGUUUUUCUUUUUUGGUACUGGGGAUUGAACUUCGGUCCUUGCACUUGUGAGGCAGGCGGCAGAACCACUGAGCUAAAUCCCCAGCCCAGACUGUGUAUGUAUGUAUAAUACAUGACAUCAAGGUUACCAUGCUGCCUUUUGAUAUAUGGAUAAAUGAAAUUAUAACUAGUAUUAAAGAUAGUAAUAGUAUAUAAGAUGCAGAGUUUAAAAUGUCAUUGCAUAAAUUCUAUUUUUAAGGUGUUGAAAUUUCUGUAGUAUUGUUUAUCUUGUUCUUUAACAAUCAAAAUGAAGAAAUACAUCUUUGUUAAUCUGCAAAGGCAGGUUGUGUCAUGUGAAAGGUAGUUUUGUUUUUUUUUUUGCUGGGUGCAGUGGUGCAUACCUGUAAUUCUAGCACUCAGGAGUUUGAGGCAGGAGGAUCACUUUGAGUUUGAGACCAGCCUGGGCUACAUAGUAAGUUCAAGGCUGGCCUGAACUACAUAAUGAGACCUGUCUCAAAAAAAAACCAAAAGAAAAAAGUAAAAGGUAGUUUUUAGUGUUUUCUGUUUUAACUGUAAUCAUUUAACAUUGAGAAUUUCAGUAUCAGAGCAAUGUAUUUUCUGAAAAAUAUUAAAUUUCUAGCUGGCCGUGGUGAUGCACAACUGUAAUCGCCAGCACUUGGGAGGCUGAGGCAGGAGGAUUACCACAAGUUCAAGGGCAGCUUCAGCUACAUAGUGAGUUCAAGGUCAUCCUGAACUACAUAGCAAGACCCUGUCUCAAAAAAAUUAAAUUUCUUUAUUCAAGUAAGCCAUCCUGGUAAUUGACAACCCAUCCCCCUCAACAAAUAUAAAUAAUACUGCCUCGUUUUUCUUCCAGAAAAGACUAGUAAGAGGUAUGCACUUUUCAUUGGAUAGGUAUCUUUCUCUUGUUUCAGAUAGAUAUCUAGCUAGAUACUUACACUUGGCAUGAGUCAGGUAAUGUGAGGACACUAUUUUACCAUCUUUUAAAAUGGAAAGACCUCUACAAAAUUGAGACAUUAUUCUAGAGCAGUGAUGGAGAACCUUUAGAGACCGAGUGCCCAAACUGCAACUCCAAACCCUACUUAUUUAUUGCAGAAUGCCAACACUGCAAUUAAACCUGAAUAUUGAGGGUUUCCUUUAGAAAAAGCAACUUGUUAUCGUGAUGCUCGGCUGCUGGGGUAACUUGGCUUGUGUGCCUGUAGAGGGCUCUGCGUGCCUGCUGCAGCAUCCAUGCUCUAGGUGUGCCACCACUGUUCUAGAGUAACAUGAAAAUAAAAUGCUUUUAUUUUCAUUUCCUUAGUGAUAAAUGAGCGAAUUCUGAAGUUUAUUUUUUUAUGGCAUAGAAUUUAUGGAUGAAUUUUUAUUGUCAUCUGAAAAUAGAAAACAUUUGAUUUUGAUAUUCAGAAUUUCCUAAAUAUGGC
rnacentral:lncRNA from 1 species